rnacentral:rRNA from 1 species
CCUACGGGGGGCAGCAGUGGGGAAUAUUGGACAAUGGGCGAAAGCCUGAUCCAGCCAUGCCGCGUGUGUGAAGAAGGCCUUCGGGUUGUAAAGCACUUUCAGUGGGGAAGAAAGCCUUGGGGCUAAUACCCUCGAGGAAGGACAUCACCCACAGAAUAAGCACCGGCUAACUCCGUGCCAGCAGCCGCGGUAAUACGGAGGGUGCGAGCGUUAAUCGGAAUUACUGGGCGUAAAGCGCGCGUAGGCGGUCUGUUAAGCCGGUUGUGAAAGCCCCGGGCUCAACCUGGGAACGGCAUCCGGAACUGUCAGGCUAGAGUGCAGGAGAGGAAGGUAGAAUUCCCGGUGUAGGAGUGAAAUGCGUAGAGAUCGGGAGGAAUACCAGUGGCGAAGGCGGCCUUCUGGACUGACACUGACGCUGAGGUGCGAAAGCGUGGGUAGCAAACAGGAUUAGAUACCCGAGUAGUC